ACAAAAAUCGAGGUUAAAAGAAUUAUACCAGUGCAGCUAUCAACUUUAAUAAGGGAGUUUUUCCGGCGUUGCUUGCAGAAGUAUGGUACAUGUGAUUAGGGGGCAUCUAAUUGUAUUUGUUUAUAUACGAGUCUG